rnacentral:rRNA from 1 species
ACCUCCCACCCGUGUUUAUUUUACCUUGUUGCUUCGGCGGGCCCGCCUUAACUGGCCGCCGGGGGGCUUACGCCCCCGGGCCCGCGCCCGCCGAAGACACCCUCGAACUCUGUCUGAAGAUUGUAGUCUGAGUGAAAAUAUAAAUUAUUUAAAACUUUCAACAACGGAUCUCUUGGUUCCGGCAUCGAUGAAGAACGCAGCGAAAUGCGAUACGUAAUGUGAAUUGCAAAUUCAGUGAAUCAUCGAGUCUUUGAACGCACAUUGCGCCCCCUGGUAUUCCGGGGGGCAUGCCUGUCCGAGCGUCAUUGCUGCCCUCAAGCACGGCUUGUGUGUUGGGCCCCGUCCUCCGAUCCCGGGGGACGGGCCCGAAAGGCAGCGGCGGCACCGCGUCCGGUCCUCGAGCGUAUGGGGCUUUGUCACCCGCUCUGUAGGCCCGGCCGGCGCUUGCCGAUCAACCCAAAUUUUUAUCCAGGUUGACCUCGGAUCAGGUAGGGAUACCCGCUGAACUUAAGCAUAUCAAU